AUGCUUUCUAACCUUCAGAACACUCUACAGUCUUUCCUAUCAUCAGCACUGCCCUUUAUUCUCGGUGCAUUUACAACAUCACCGGGUACGUACCUGUUGUCUCCACUCUCCUCUGGGUCCAUCACUGCUCAACUCACUCCAUUAGAGCUGGAGCCAACGUGGCCAGAUAACUCCUUGAGUGUAGAGAAAUGGGUCAUGGAUGAUCUGAACCAGGGAGCCUGGUGCCCAGGAGAGAGGGAGUGUCCAUAAGGGGUGUAACUGGGGAGAAGGAAAGGUAUAUUAGGUUUGAUCCAUGGUAAUUUUUCAGGUGAAGUUUCUACAGAGCCCAGACAUGGGAGCAGGAAUCUUGGUUGGAGAAUUUGUGCUUGGGAAUUUGUACCCAAAUAGCACAGCUAAGAUGGGAGGCGGGGACUCCAAAGGGAACAGCCUGUGAGUGAGUCUGCUGUGAACCUGCUGUGAGUGCCAGGGAGAGACACACACGGGGACAGGAUGCAGCAGAGAGGCAGGAAGGCAACAGCAGGCAUUCCAAAAGGAAGGGGAGAGUGUCAUGGCAAUAAGGACAUGCCACAGAAGCAUGUGCCACAGAAGGGUGGCGGUAAAUGGAAAAGGGAUCAGAAGUCAUUCAUAAGUCCUGGCAAGUUGCUUCAUGAGAGGCUAAGGGCAGAAUCAGACCAUAGGAUACAAUGAAAAACAGAUAAAAUCAGUAGGUAAAACCCAUUCAUGUUCAAAUCGAGAUUUUGUUAAAAUGCUGUUUUAAGGAACAUAAAAAUACAGUCUCAGAUGGGAGGACGUUGAAGUUUAGGUGAUGGCUGACAGAAUGAUUCCCUGCCUAGAAGAGAUGCCAUCAGCAACAGUUCUGUGCAGAGUCGGGCAGAGAGCCCAUGACACCGGCGGACAGAUGUGAUGGGAGACACGUGUGGAAAAGGCUGGUGACUGGAGGGCUUCAGGGAAGAGGGAAUCUUGCAGACUACAUGUGCCACUGUGUAGAUAACAUCAAGGGGGAGCUAUUUGGGUCUUAGGAAUUACUUAACCUGAAAAAAAUUACUUAAACUGAAUUUUAAAUUGGCACCAUGUAAAGUGCAAUGGCUUCCCUGGUGGUUCAGGUGGUGAAGAAUCUGCCUGCAAUGCGGGAGGCACGGGUUUGAUCCCUGGGUCAGGAAGAUCCCCUGGAGAAGAAAAUGGCAACCCACUCCAGUUUUCUUGCCUGGAGAAUUCCAUGCACAGAG
rnacentral:lncRNA from 1 species